CGCGGUCAGAGGGCAGCCUCG
rnacentral:misc_RNA from 1 species